UCUUUUGAGUACCUUCGUUUCCUCGGCGGGUUCGCCCGCCGAUUGGACAAUUUAAACCAUUUGCAGUUGCAAUCAGCGUCUGAAAAAACAUAAUAGUUACAACUUUCAACAACGGAUCUCUUGGUUCUGGCAUCGAUGAAGAACGCAGCGAAAUGCGAUAAGUAGUGUGAAUUGCAGAAUUCAGUGAAUCAUCGAAUCUUUGAACGCACAUUGCGCCCCUUGGUAUUCCAUGGGGCAUGCCUGUUCGAGCGUCAUUUGUACCUUCAAGCUCUGCUUGGUGUUGGGUGUUUGUCUCGCCUCUGCGCGUAGACUCGCCUCAAAACAAUUGGCAGCCGGCGUAUUGAUUUCGGAGCGCAGUACAUCUCGCGCUUUGCAUUCAGAACGACGACGUCCAAAAGUACAUUUUUA
rnacentral:rRNA from 1 species